ensembl:lncRNA
UGGAGGGGGAGAUGGUGGAGGGUUUUAAGUAGUGCCCUGGUCUAAAGUAGUGCCCUGCAUAGGGAAUAGGGUGCCAUAGAGCCCUGGUCUAAAGUAGUGCCCUGCAUAGGGAAUAGGGUGUCAUAGAGCCCUGGUCUAAAGUAGUGCCCUGAUUAGGGUGCCAUAGAGCCCUGGUCUAAAGUAGUGCCCUGCAUAGGGAAUAGGGUGUCAUAGAGCCCUGGUCUAAAGUAGUGCCCUGCAUAGGGAAUAGGGUGUCAUAGAGCCCUGGUCUAAAGUAGUGCCCUGAUUAGGGUGUCAUAGAGCCCUGGUCUAAAGUAGUGCCCUGCAUAGGGAAUAGGGUGUCAUAGAGCCCUGGUCUAAAGUAGUGCCCUGAUUAGGUGUCAUAGAGCCCUGGUCUAAAGUAGUGCCCUGCAUAGGGAAUAGGGUGUCAUAGAGCCCUGGUCUAAAGUAGAGCACUGGUCUAAAGUAGUGCCCUGCAUAGGGAAUAGGGUGUCAUAGAGCCCUGGUCUAAAGUAGUGCCCUGCAUAGGGAAUAGGGUGCCUUUGGGCCUUAGCCAUAGUUGGAUGAUGCGUGGGGAGGGCUGAGGUUAAGUUAAACAAAACAAAACUGUUUCCUUUCAGUAAAAGACGAAUAGUUUGUAGACUGCUGAGGUAUUUCCAUGUUUAGUGCUACAGUUAUAAUAAUUAGAUAAAUCUAAAGAUGAUAUGUUCUUCUGUAGAGCUGGCUUGAACACAUCUCCUCUCCGUUUUUGUUUCUACGGCGAUUGAUUGACCUCCAAACCCAAAGAUCCCACCCAUGUCACAUCGUGUGAGUGAUUCGAUUGGCUCCUCUCUAAAGCUGCACAUGGUUGUUGGCAUUCCCUUCAACCAAUCAGAAGAGGCUUGAGUACCCCCCCCUCCCCUCCCCCCCUCCACUCCCUUUGGAGGGCUUUGUACCAAAUAAUUAAGGACGGGGAUGGAUGGUUGAGUUUGUUGUUUUGGCCAAAUCAGCCACCAGAUGUAUUGGGAUAAUGAACUGUCGUUGACCCUUGACAUUUCUCUGCAUUCUAAAAUAACUUGAU